rnacentral:rRNA from 1 species
AGUGGCGGACGGGUGAGUAACGCGUAGGAACGUGUCCUGUGGUGGGGGAUAACGCUGGGAAACUGGCGCUAAUACCGCAUAUGGCCUGAGGGUCAAAGCCGCGAGGUGCCAUGGGAGCGGCCUGCGUCCGAUUAGCUUGUUGGUUGGGUAAUGGCUGACCAAGGCGAUGAUCGGUAGCUGGUCUGAGAGGAUGAUCAGCCACACUGGGACUGAGACACGGCCCAGACUCCUACGGGAGGCAGCAGUGGGGAAUAUUGGACAAUGGGCGCAAGCCUGAUCCAGCAAUUCCGCGUGGGUGAAGAAGGUCUUCGGAUUGUAAAGCCCUUUCGGCGGGGACGAUGAUGACGGUACCCGCAGAAGAAGCCCCGGCUAACUUCGUGCCAGCAGCCGCGGUAAUACGAAGGGGGCUAGCGUUGCUCGGAAUGACUGGGCGUAAAGGGCGCGUAGGCGGCACACACAGUCAGGCGUGAAAUUCCUGGGCUUAACCUGGGGGCUGCGUUUGAAACGUGUGAGCUAGAGGAUGGAAGAGGCUCGUGGAAUUCCCAGUGUAGAGGUGAAAUUCGUAGAUAUUGGGAAGAACACCGGUGGCGAAGGCGGCGAGCUGGUCCAUUACUGACGCUGAGGCGCGAAAGCGUGGGGAGCAAAC